rnacentral:lncRNA from 1 species
GUAAGCAAAAAAACCACCCCUUCAACGAUUUUUCUGUGCAUAAAAACUGCUUGCUAGUGAUACAGGCUAGUUCCUUUGGGACUUUUCCGACACGGAUUCACGUUCCUUGACAAUAAAGUCAACGCUGAUAAACCCUAUUUAAGGAAAACCAACUUUUCUGAAUAACCUUACUCAUCUGGAAGCCGGCCAGGUCGAUGCCUCUGAAAUUCAGAGGGCAAUUUGAAGCGUUAUUACCCAACUGAUGCUUUGGGAUCCGCGGCUGGAAAUUCCCUCCGCUGUGCUGGCUCGGAGAAUGCCUGCGGGAUGCAGCCGGAGCCUCCUGAGCCGUGUUACGCAGGGAAAUGGUGGAGAAGCAACCCACAGGCA